UACAGAGGGUGCUAGCGUUGUUCGGAAUUACUGGGCGUAAAGGGCUCGUAGGCGGCCAACUAAGUCAGACGUGAAAUCCCCCGGCUUAACCUGGGAACUGCGUCUGAUACUGGAAGGCUUGAGUAUGGGAGAGGGAUGUAGAAUUCCAGGUGUAGCGGUGAAAUGCGUAGAUAUCUGGAGGAAUACCGGUGGCGAAGGCGGCAUCCUGGACCAUUACUGACGCUGAGGCGCGAAAGCUAGGGGAGCAAACGGG
rnacentral:rRNA from 1 species